rnacentral:rRNA from 1 species
AUUGAACGCUAGCGGCAGGCCUAACACAUGCAAGUCGAACGGAUGGCGGGCGGGUUGUAAAGGACUGGGACACGGCCUGGUGGAGGGGGAUGACUACGGGAAACUGUAGCUACUACCGCAUAGCAUGGGCGGUGCCCGGUUGGGAUUGGCGAGGGGGGGGGGUAAAGGCUCACCUAGGAGACGAGCCCUAGCUGGUCUGAGAGGAUGACCAGCCACACUGGAACUGAGACACGGUCCAGACUCCUACGGGAGGCAGCAGUGGGGAAUAUUGCACAAUGGGCGCAAGCCUGAUGCAGCCAUGCCGCGUGUAUGAAGAAGGCCUUCGGGUUGUAAAGUACUUUCAGCGGGGAGGCGUUACCCGCAGAAGAAGCACCGGCUAACUCCGUGCCAGCAGCCGCGGUAAUUC